CAAUAUAGGAUUGAAUAGCUGUUUGGAGAGCAGAAAACUUUUUAUUGGAACACUCCUUGAGCAUUGAUUCCAAUGCUCGAGUUAUGAAACCUCCCGCAGCUCCACCAGCCAUUUUCUCUUUUUUUUAUUGGUUUUCGCCUGACCUGCGGAGAUCUAUAAUCAACGGGAUCGAUUUGAAAGCAUCAAUGCGAUCCUGUGGCACUCGAUCUGGAUAUCUACGAUGAAAGUGUUUCUUUUUUCUUUAACCUUAGGACAGCAAAAAAGGAGUUGUUGAGAUCUCGUCGGGAAACCCAGAGAUCUGAAAAUGGAAGAAAUACUGGGAAGGGGUUCAGGGUGCAGACCGUUCCACCACCUCCGGCUCCGGAUCUGUUUUAAAUGACAAAAAAGGUGAAAACAAAAUUAAUAAUAAUUAAUGACAAAAAGGUGAAAACAAAUACUACCGUGUUUUUUACUCUUUUUAUCUUUAUUUACAGGCCUGGCCGUCACUCGAUUGACCAAUUUGGGUCCAGCUCGGAUGUGGCAAAAUUAUU
rnacentral:lncRNA from 1 species